rnacentral:rRNA from 1 species
AUUGAACGCUGGCGGCAUGCCUUACACAUGCAAGUCGAAUGGUAACAGGUCUUCGGAUGCUGACGAGUGGCGAACGGGUGAGUAAUACAUCGGAACGUGCCCGAUCGUGGGGGAUAACGGAGCGAAAGCUUUGCUAAUACCGCAUACGAUCUACGGAUGAACGCAGGGGACCGCAAGGCCUUGCGCGGACGGAGCGGCCGAUGGCAGAUUAGGUAGUUGGUGGGAUAAAAGCUUACCAAGCCGACGAUCUGUAGCUGGUCUGAGAGGACGACCAGCCACACUGGGACUGAGACACGGCCCAGACUCCUACGGGAGGCAGCAGUGGGGAAUUUUGGACAAUGGGCGAAAGCCUGAUCCAGCCAUGCCGCGUGCAGGAUGAAGGCCUUCGGGUUGUAAACUGCUUUUGUACGGAACGAAAAGCCUCUUUCUAAUAAAGAGAGGUCAUGACGGUACCGUAAGAAUAAGCACCGGCUAACUACGUGCCAGCAGCCGCCGUAA